CCUGUAAGAGAGAUCACACACACUAAUACAGAUGUUUCCUGUCCUGUCCCUUCAUUAAACAUUAAAUAUUUUCUUUGAUAUAAUGGAGUAUUUAAUCUUCUUGGCAGUCCUGUAAGAAUCAAAUGAUUGUUAAAUAAAAUUUUAAAUAAAUCACAAAAUUAUUUAGAAUUAUAAAUGAAUAAAAUUGUAAGAAUAAAAUGGAAUGGAAUGUGUGGCAUUGCAGAGUGCAGAGCUCCUGCUGGCACCGCUGGCAGCGAGGGGAAUCUCACCAUUUCUUCUAAUGGUCAGGAGAGGCUGGCAUCUACUGGUGUGGGCUAUCAGCUGCCCUGCAGAGCUCUGAAUGAGAAGCAAGCUUCUGUUAUUACACAUGAUCCCAAUCCUCAUUAAGCCCGUGUCAGGAAAUAGUAUUUGAAUCCUACAGUUAGCAAAGCAGAAAAAAGGAAAGAAA